CAAAUUUAUUGAAAAUAAAGUAUGAUGCGCAUGCCGAGUUGCUUAGUUUGAUAACAAAAACACAUACAUGAAUGAAUGAAUAACUGUUUACUAUCCGGGCAUAACGUAUUGUGAUCGAAUGUCAACACAACUCAAUGAUUCUUGACUUUUUGCGUUGGCGUUAAGACGACAUUGAACAUUCUGUUCAGAGCUCGGGGCGGUACUUUGUUAGCAAAUAUCUGGGUGAUAUAAAAGGCAUACUGAACAGAAAAGUGAAGCCAAACAUAAAUUAGGUGUUGAAUCGCUGCUAUACUUGUAAAAAUGCUUCCUAAAUGGUUAUACCUGCUUUUGGUGUUCGGUGCCUUACUCCUUCCUUCCGAUGCGAUCAACUGCUAUGAGUGUAAUACUAUAGAAGAUGACGGGUGCGGGGACCCGUUUGGUUCAGGCGUGUCGAAAGCUGGUUGCGAACAAUGUUCCAAAAUUAAGGGGACCCAAGGAUCUAUUCAAGUCGUUAUCCGAAAUUGUUUACUGACGAAGGCUCAAGACAACGAGGGAUGCGCUUCUGAGACACAAAGUGGCGUCACUGGCGAAGUCUGUUUGUGCAACACGAGCCUCUGCAAUGCAGCGUCCGAUCCAGUUGUGGCCUUUUCACUGUUAAUGCUUACUGGCUUUCUGGCUGCUAAGAAUAUUUUAACGCAUUGAGUACGAGCACGUGUUUUCUUUCAAGUUUGAUGUUACCCCAUUGUCUUAUAUUUUCGACAGUUUGAUUUGUGUACAGUGAAAUAUGCAGUGUUUGUUAUUAUUAACACUAGUGUAUGCUUUCGUAUUCAAUACUUUCCGUUACGCUGAAACGUCCAAAUAUAAGUUAUUGUAAUUGAGGUCAUAUUAUUAUGCUUUAAUAUUUUCAGGAUGUCUGUUUGAUACAAACGUAAAUACUUGUAAGACAGUUCCACAUAUAAUCACAAUAUAAAUAAAUAUAUAAAUAAUCAAA